UACGAAGGGGGGCUAGCGUUGUUCGGAAUUAUUGGGCGUAAAGCGUGCGCAGGCGGUUCUGUAAGUCUGUCGUGAAAUCCCCGGGCUUAACCUGGGAAUUGCGAUGGAGACUGCAAGGCUAGAAUCUGGCAGAGGGGGGUAGAAUUCCACGUGUAGCAGUGAAAUGCGUAGAGAUGUGGAGGAACACCGAUGGCGAAGGCAGCCCCCUGGGCCAAUACUGACGCUCAUGCACGAAAGCGUGGGGAGCAAACAGG
rnacentral:rRNA from 1 species